AAUGAGGAAUACAGAGAGAAAGACCCCGAAGAAAGUAAGGAAAUAAAAACGCUCUUUCUAGGUUCAAAAGUCGUGGCUGGAAGGGCGCCAAGUCCCUACGUGGCGGGGCGGCCCAGCGGACUGGAAUGCAGCUCGUGAUCCGCAGCCCCGGCCACCAGUCAUUCCAUUCCGCCUAUUCCAGUUGGGGACGAGAAGUCGAUUUGAUGAGUCAUUCCAGUUUAUGGCAAGGACUCCAGGAUUCCAAGGCUCAUGCAGAAUCGGCGACAAGGACAUCCCUGCGGAACGGUCUCCGUCUAGCACCGGCAUGUUCCGCUAAAACGCUUCCAGACACACCUCGCCCCUCCGUCAGGUAUUUACCUGUAAGUUCACCUUUAGUCAGCCCGUCCUGCAGCUCAGCCGUCCCAUUACCCAUAAAAGAAGCAGAUUUUUUAGUAUCAUCGUUUUGUUUAUCAACUUCCAUCACGAAAAUGCUGGCGCCUGUCUGUCUGGUGGCGUGCCGGAGUGCUGGAUAAUAUAACAUUCACUGGAAGGUUUGCGAGAGGCGGCAGAUAACAUGCAGAGGGACGCCGGCAGACCACUGAUCAAUACGGUUCGAGGUGUUCACGUCAUGAAUGCUUCAUGGUAUUAAUUAAGAGAAGGGUACAGCAGGCCAGGGCGUGUUGCCGUCGCGUUGGGAUAUUUUAAGUGUGUUAGGGCAGGUUAGGUUGCUGAAUGAAUGCUAAGUCGUUGUAUAACGUAAUGUACAGUCGAGUAUGAUUGCUUAUGUUUGCCUGUUUAAAUAUUGUUCUAUCGUUGUGUGUGUAUCAGUCUGUGGGAAUGUUGCGUUGCUGUGGGCAGGUUGCGUGCUGUGGGAAGGUUGCGUGCCGUUGCCUUAGGUAGAUUUGAGUGUGUUGGACGGGGUCAGUUGUUUUAAAGGCGUUUUUGUUGCUGCGGGCACUGCAGGCUCGGGGAUUUACGUACGAGUAGGUGUGCUUGGACGUGUGAAUGUUGUGUUUUUGUUCCUGCAGGUAAUGGUCACUCGAUGUUUUGGUCACGCUGACUUGGAUUAAGGAAUGCGAGCCAGUAUUUAGCGAAGAUAAGUCAGGUAAGACAAGGAAGGGUGGUGAUUCCCCAAGGCGAUAUUUUUUCGAUUUUGUCUUUAUGUUCGUUGUGGCUUAUUCUGUAAUUACAUUGGAUAAGCGAGGCCACAUCUGAUUACAUACCCAUGGAUCAGUGCUUUGCUGGAUUAGUAAUGGAAAUUAAUACGUAUCACGGAAACCCAACGGAUUACAUUAAAAUUAGAAAAUUGUUCAGUAAGCCAUAGUUUAGGUUAGACAGCCUGAGCACAGUAAUACCCCGUGGGAUUAUACACGUGAUAUUUUUUUUGUCGCUGUGGGUUGUAAUGAACGAUCAUAUAAAUAAAUUACGGCUAAUCGAACAACCAAAAAAAUAUCCAGCCUCGAUUCAAUAUAUAUUCCCACUGGAGACUGUUCAUGCACACACACACACACACACACACACACACACACACACACACAAAGGUCGUUCCCCGCUGAAAGGCAUCAAUAUUACAGCAGCCAUGCAGCGCGCAGGUCCAGACGGGCAAGUCGCGGAUAUUAAUAGAUCGCCGUGAAAACUCUCAGACCGGCUGCAUAUAUUGGUACUGCCGGGGGUGUUUUCGCUCUUGUUGUGUGGCCGUUAUUUUUGCUUCUGUCGUUUUGACUGUGGGUGUAACUCUCGUUGUUGUUGUUGUUGUUGUUGUAUCUGUCGUUGUUGUGGUGGUGAGUGCGGUUGUUGUUGUUUUUGUCAGUGCUUUUAAUGCUGCUGUUGUUCUUAUUGUUGAUGUCAGUAUAUUUUUUCUUAUUUUUUUUCUCGUAUUCAUAUUCGUAGUGCUUGUGGUAGAUAUAAAUGUUAGAUUUGAAAUAACAGUUGUUGCGGUUUUCAAUUGUCCACAGUGUUAUCAUUAGCAUAAGCAGCGUGAGAGUGUUGGCAGCUGUGUGCUCUACAAUGAAUGAAGGCUGCUGUCCCUCGUCAUUGGUCGACAAUUUAAUUUCAGUGUCGUUAGCACCCCCGGUAAUUAUCUGAGGUUUUAUGUAAGCCCAUACGACCGUUUAACUGCCGAGCACAAUGGAAAAAAGUAGAUAUUUGGCAGAUAAACACAUCGCAUCGCGCCUCGCAUAUCUCGCCAUUUCAUCUACCGGUGUGCCGUUCAGGUUCCGCCGCCGGUGUAAAUAGCUCCCGCGUCCCAUAAUCAACACCACCCAAAUCGUUAUUCCGCCGAGGUAACGGGUUCACAAUAACGCUUUGUGCAAAGUAUCGCGUCAUCAUUCCCUUUAAUUUUAUCCUCCAAAAAAACAACCCGGCGGAGGCACAUACACCUCUGCAUUUCCCAUGAGGGGUCGAGGUGCGCGGGUUAUAUGACACGGUCUAUAAGCAGCAAUGGGUUAGGCGUCGCUCGUUGUAAUUACAUGGACUGGUUGAGUAAUGGAGAGGAGUCGGGCGGCGCUGGGAAUGGAUAGAGAUGAAGAGACCGCAUCAGAUGAAAGCAUUUAAUGAAAAAGAUAUCGAAGAGAUGAGAGGAGUAUCAGAGAACGCUGCUUCCGGAUAGUAGUGUGAACGGCGAGGUGUAUUUCCCCUGAGUGGUGCGCGAAGGCGAGGGUCGGGGAGCCAUGGAUAGAGGGGAAAGGGGUGAAGGGGGGGCCGGGUCUGAGUCACCUGUCUGGAUCCCCGCCCAGAGCGACGCGAGGAUGCAGGGAAAGAAAUCGAUAGUAGAAAAUGUAAUCCGCAUUAGGCGAGAAAUAUUUUGCUCCAUCGACCAUGAUUAAUAUUACUAAUCAAGCUUAUUAUCACUGUACCCUCUGACUAGUCCUCCGGCAUCUAUUUCUACUACUACUACUACUACUACUACUACUACAACUGACACGAACGCCACCGCCUCCCACAUCAUCGUUCCCACAGCCGCUUUGGACAGCACCACAAUCCCCAGUGUCAAUACCACGUUAAAUAUUGCCCCACAUUGCCGCACCGCCUCCAUUGGGCUGAUGCAGUUCCGGCGGCUGAGCAGAAUCCACACCAAAUAGUUUUCAUUAGCCAGCAUCGGUCAGACGAGACUACCCUGUGAUACUGACCGCUUCUCUUUAUGUUAACACAGCUUACUAAAGAGAGAAUAAAAUUAAGGCAUGAAAGAAGCCAAUUUAACUAGAAGAAAGUCAAGUCCAAACUUUGCCUGCUUAACCAGCUGAAUGGAAACAAGCAAUAUCCCAACUGUGGAUGGAAAAUCGUCCGACUAAAGGAAGGAAAAACUGACCAGGUAAACUUCAAAACUUAAAACUCCGUAACUUUUUUUGCU